rnacentral:rRNA from 1 species
UACGGAGGGUGCAAGCGUUACCCGGAAUCACUGGGCGUAAAGGGCAUGUAGGCGGCUUAUUAAGUCUGGAUUUAAAGACCGAGGCUCAACCUCGGGAAUGGUCUGGAUACUGGUGAGCUGGACGACUGGAGGGGAGAGUGGAAUUCUCGGUGUAGCGGUGGAAUGCGUAGAUACCGAGAGGAACACCAGUGGCGAAGGCGGCUCUCUGGACAGUGCGUGACGCUGAGGUGCGAAAGUGUGGGGAGCAAACCGG